ACGAACGCUGGCGGCAUGCCUAACACAUGCAAGUCGAACGAGACCUUCGGGUCUAGUGGCGCACGGGUGCGUAACGCGUGGGAACCUGCCCUUAGGUUCGGAAUAACUCCCCGAAAGGGGUGCUAAUACCGGAUAAUGUCUUCGGACCAAAGAUUUAUCGCCUUUGGAUGGGCCCGCGUUGGAUUAGCUAGUUGGUAGGGUAAAAGCCUACCAAGGCGACGAUCCAUAGCUGGUCUGAGAGGAUGAUCAGCCACACUGGGACUGAGACACGGCCCAGACUCCUACGGGAGGCAGCAGUGGGGAAUAUUGGACAAUGGGCGAAAGCCUGAUCCAGCAAUGCCGCGUGAGUGAUGAAGGCCUUAGGGUUGUAAAGCUCUUUUACCCGGGAUGAUAAUGACAGUACCGGGAGAAUAAGCUCCGGCUAACUCCGGG
rnacentral:rRNA from 1 species